CCUACGGGGCGCAGCAGUGGGGGAUAUUGCACAAUGGGGGCAACCCUGAUGCAGCGACGCCGCGUGAGCGAUGGAGUACUUCGGUAUGUAAAGCUCUGUCAGCAGGGAAGAGAAUGACGGUACCUGACCAAGAAGCCCCGGCUAAAUACGUGCCAGCAGCCGCGGUAAUACGUAGGGGGCAAGCGUUAUCCGGAUUUACUGGGUGUAAAGGGAGCGUAGACGGCCAGACAAGUCAGAAGUGAAAGCCCAGGGCUCAACCCUGGGACUGCUUUUGAAACUGCCGGGCUGG
rnacentral:rRNA from 1 species